rnacentral:rRNA from 1 species
GACGAACGCUGGCGGCGUGCCUAAUACAUGCAAGUCGAGCGAAGUUUUUCUGGUUCUUGCACUAGUAAAACUUAGCGGCGAACGGGUGAGUAACACGUAAAGAACCUGCCUCAUAGACUGGGACAACUAUUGGAAACGAUAGCUAAUACCGGAUAACAGUAUUUCUCGCAUGAGUGCUAUUUAAAAGUUGUUUAUGCUAACACUAUGAGAUUGCUUUGCGGUGCAUUUGCUGGUUGGUGGGGUAAAGGCCCACCAAGGCGACGAUGCAUAGCCGACCUGAGAGGGUGAUCGGCCACACUGGAACUGAGACACGGCCCAGACUCCUACGGGAGGCAGCAGUAGGGAAUCUUCCGCAAUGGGCGAAAGCCUGACGGAGCAACGCCGCGUGAGUGAAGAAGGAUUUCGGUUCGUAAAGCUCUGUUGUUAGGGAAGAAUGGAUAUGUAGUAACUAUACGUGUAAGAGACGGUACCUACACAGAAAGCCACGGCUAACUACGUG